rnacentral:rRNA from 1 species
GAUGAACGCUGGCGGCGUGCCUAAUACAUGCAAGUCGAGCGAACAGACGAGGAGCUUGCUCCUCUGACGUUAGCGGCGGACGGGUGAGUAACACGUGGAUAACCUACCUAUAAGACUGGGAUAACUUCGGGAAACCGGAGCUAAUACCGGAUAAUAUAUUGAACCGCAUGGUUCAAUAGUGAAAGACGGUUUUGCUGUCACUUAUAGAUGGAUCCGCGCCGCAUUAGCUAGUUGGUAAGGUAACGGCUUACCAAGGCAACGAUGCGUAGCCGACCUGAGAGGGUGGUUCGCCACACUGGAACUGAGACACGGUCCAGACUCCUACGGGAGGCAGCAGUAGGGAAUCUUCCGCAAUGGGCGAAAGCCUGACGGAGCAACGCCGCGUGAGUGAUGAAGGUCUUCGGAUCGUAAAACUCUGUUAUUAGGGAAGAACAAAUGUGUAAGUAACUAUGCACGUCUUGACGGUACCUAAUCAGAAAGCCACGGCUAACUACGUG